rnacentral:rRNA from 1 species
GCCCACCAGCUAGCCCCCACCCCAAAACCAAACACCCCGCAUAUAUGCUUCCCCCAACCCUACUACAAACAAACCAUUCUUCCUCCCUAGUACGGGCGACAGAAAAGGAU